rnacentral:lncRNA from 1 species
AUUGUAUUACAAUACAUAGUCCCCCACCAAUAAACAUCUUAUUAUACAGGAACAAAAUGCUAUAAUUGAUCUAUAACUAGUCAUUGUUUAAACUAUAUCGAUAAUAUUUUGAAGCAUGAUGAGAAAGGGUGUUGAAACUGAAUAAUAGAGUAAAUUUUCCUAGGAUCAUAAAUCUGCACAAAUUCAUCAGAACGGAACGACAUUAGUACUUGGUCUGUAAUUUGCCACUAUAAACCUUCA